rnacentral:rRNA from 1 species
GACGAACCGUGCGAACGUUAUUCGGAAUCACUGGGCUUAAAGCGCGUGUAGGCGGGACGGCACGUCGGUCGCUGAAAGCCCCCGGCUCAACCGGGGAACGGGCGCCGAUACGACCGUCCUGGAGGGACGUAGGGGGACCUGGAACAUCCGGUGGAGCGGUGAAAUGCGUUGAGAUCGGAUGAGAGCCCGUGGCGAAAGCGAGGUCCUGGACGUUUUCUGACGCUGAGACGCGAAAGCCAGGGGAGCGAACGGG